rnacentral:rRNA from 1 species
ACUCAAAGGAAUUGACGGGGGCCCGCACAAGCAGUGGAGCAUGUGGUUUAAUUCGACGCAACGCGAAGAACCUUACCUAGGCUUGAAACGCAAGUUAAUCCUGAUGAAAGUCAGGGUGCCGCAAGGCGAACUUGUACAGGUGCUGCAUGGCUGUCGUCAGCUCGUGCCGUGAGGUGUUGGGUUAAGUCCCGCAACGAGCGCAACCCUCGUUCUUAGUUGCCAUCAGGUAAUGCUGAGCACUCUAAGAAGACUGCCUACGCAAGUAGUGAGGAAGGUGGGGAUGACGUCAAGUCCGCAUGGCCCUUACGCCUAGGGCCACACACGUGCUACAAUGGCCAUUACAAAGGGCUGCAAGACCGCGAGGUGGAGCUAAUCCCUAAAAAAUGGUCUCAGUUCGGAUUGGAGUCUGCAACUCGACUCCAUGAAGCUGGAAUUGCUAGUAAUCGCGCAUCAGCACGGCGCGGUGAAUACGUUCCCGGGCCUUGUACACACCGCCCGU